rnacentral:lncRNA from 1 species
GGGGACACCUGCUUUAAUGCUAUACACAUCAGAGGUCUGUCCUCCUAUGACAACUCUUUGUCUUCUUUCAGAUAAAUAACUUUUAAACCAUUUUAAUAAGUCCCCUCUUAUUCCAUAUUUUUCUAGUUUAUGAAGGAGGCCUUCAUGCCAGACCCGGUCAAACGCUUUACUGAUAUCACAAAACACAACUCUUAUUUCCUUUCCAAAAU